UUGCCUUACUGUCUCUCAGGUUCUGCCAUUGUCCAUGUACUAAAAAGGCAGCGAGGAGUGCAUAUAACUAUCUACUUAUGUGUCUACAUCUCCUAGUAGAAUAUAAACCAGAAGUGAGCAUUGAUUCUAUUAUGGCUACCAGCAGCUCCUAUCACACUGUCCAGAAAGAAUUACAGUGUUGAAUACCAUUUAAUGAAUAAACAAUUUUAAAGAAUGAGAGGUGGAGAGAGGGUGGAGUACCACAGUGAGAAGAUCAAAAUAAGGCAGCAAGGGAGGACGGCAACCUCUGCUCUUCUAGAUGAAAGAUGUUCUGGAGACCAACAUAAACAAAUGGCAGUUGAAAGAGAAGAUCGCCUUUUGGGCUGUCUUUCUGGAAAACAUCUGAUGUAUCCAACCACAGUAUCUGAGGGGACAAUCAAGAAUCAUGUGUAUUUUGAAAGUAAGAGAAAAAUAAGAGAAAAGAAAAUGUGUACCAUCACCCUCUUCUCUGUUCUUGUGUAAGAUGUUUGCUGAACUCACGCCAGCUGUUUCCACAUCUCCACUAACAUGCACAGCCUGCAUUGCCAGCAUGGGGCAGUGUCCUGUUACUCAAUGCCUUCCACACUCCCAUGAGACCACAGGCUUCAGCAUAUGUUCCCAAAUGACCCCUAACCUUUUUUUUUACUGGUGAGUGGUGAGACAUGCUCUGAAGUCAUGUGUUACUUCAAGAUGACGGAGAAGGCAUAAAAGCUGAGCUAAAAACAGAAUGGCUCAUUUUGAGCAAGGGACAUCAAAAGAGAGCCUGCGUAGCAGCUGGCUAUUUGGGAUGAGGCCACCAGCAUCUGCAGGACAUUUGUAAGAUGCCAUGAGGUGAACAACUUUGCUGUUACACAUUCACUACCGUGGUGUUGUGGUGUUAUAACUUACUGUGGGCUCCGAAGUAAUGAAGCCAAGUGACCACCAAAUGAAACUUCUGAAACCACGAGGCCAAGAUAAGUCUUUUCACCUUUUAAAUUGUUUCUCAGGUGUUUAUUACAAUGAUCAAAAAAGUUUAACACCAAAUUUCUUUGAAAUGUAUUGUAAACUAUGUGUAAUAAUGUGUACUCUGUGUGUGUGGGUCUGUGCCAUGUGAAUGCAGUGUUGGUGGAGGCCAGAGGAUGGCGAUAGACCUCUUGGACCUGGAAUACAGGUGGCUGUAACCCACGUGAUGUGGUUGUUGAGAACCAAAGUCAGGUCCUCUGUAAAGGUAGCUGAUGCUCUUAACGACCAGUUCUCAGGCCCCACAACACCCUUUUAUUCCACUGAAUUCUGUUUGGGACAGGAAGACAAACUGUUGUCUAGCUUCUCUGAGUAACACAAAAUAGUUUAUAUCCACACUUUACAAAAGGGCAUACUUCAGUGUCUUCUCAUGGUAUGUCCUCAACUGCAUCCUUCUAUUCUGGGUAGAAUUUGGCAGUGUGUGUGUGUGUGUGUGUGUGUGUGUGUGUGUGUGUGUGUGUGUGAGCACAGGUAAUUACUCAAAUCACACUUCAGAAGUGUGCCAACAAAAAGCAUCAGAAUCAUACAUUUCAGGAUUUGGAAAGAAAUAGCAUGUUUCGAUGCUUAAAAACAGCAUUAUGAGAAGAAAGGAGCUAUUUGCCUCUCAUUCAUCUCUCCAUUUAUUUCACCAGUUUUUUAAAAAUGAAAAUAAUUCCUUCAAGUCUUCAAAAUUUGCAAUUCUUCUCUGGGGACUCCCAAGCUCCUACAGUCCAAAUGGCAGUGGGCGCUGUUUGGUGGGGUGAAAGAGGAGAGGAACCCUCCCUCCCACUCCAUGGCUGUGUAUCCUUGAGUAGUGUCUCUCUGUGCCUCAACUUCCUCAUGGAGAAAUCCUUCAAGUAGCUGUGUGAUCAGCAAUAAAAAGUUUAAUACACUUAACUAACAGUGGAUUAUGAGUGAUACAUACAGAAAUUAAAUUGACAUUAAAAAUCAGCUUUGACUUGAAAUGGCAGCGUUUCUAUUGGUCAAGUGGUCUCAGUUCAUGAUCACAUGGCCUAUUUGGAGUAACUGAAUAUUUUUCUAACUUAUUAGCAAAUCCUAUCAGCUCUACAUUUAGAGUAAAGCCCAGACAUGAUCACUUUCACCCUUCAGCUGUUACCACUUCCUAGCCAAGUUCAACUGAUCUUCUGUCUAGACCAUUGUAAUUGUGUCCUGUGAGUCUCUGUUUCACUCGCUCUCAUGUGGCACUGACCAGGAAGUCAAGUUUAGACCAGAAGUAAAGCAGGGCCACAUAACCUAAGACCUGUCCCUCAUGACCUACAUCUAUCUACUAGGUUCUAUACUCUCGAAGUUCUACAACAUCAUGAAAAAGUACCACCAGCAGAGGACCCAGUGUUCAAAUACACAAGUUUGUGGGGGAACAUUUCACAUUCAAAUUAUAAUACCAAGGUAUUUUUAGCCCUUAGCACACAGUAGGUACCACUAUCAUGAGUGCCUUGGUGUAUGAUUGAGGCCUAAGACCAAUUUUUCCAACUCUUUGCAGUCCAUCCAUGGGAGAAAAAUGGGCGGAACCCAGGAAUUAAUUGGGAAUUCUACUUGCUUCCCAGUAUGUCAAGGAAAGGACAGAGGCUUUCUGGGGGCACCCCAGUGAGCACAGGGCCUGGGGUUCAGAUAUCUCAAUUUUACAAACACAUGGACUCACAUAUAUAAAUUAAAGAAACUUGCCACUGUACGUAGAAUUCAAGUUCUCCAAUCUCCACCAACAUGUAACUCAUGCAUUUCCUUUGUGGCCUUCAUCACAGUCAGGGCAGACUUUUCUCAUAGGCAUGGCCUUGCAGAGAGGAGUUACAAAUCUAGGAGGUAUUCUGCCCUUCAGAUAGUGAGGAAGAGGAAGGGACAUUCAGCACUCGGUGAUGAAGAAGUAGGGGACACAGAGUAUAAUGCUGUUUGCAACUACAUCUUGGAAUCCAAGUAGCAUCACCAAAAUAGCUGCGGGAACUCACUUGAUGACUGUGGGAUGAAAAUGAGGGAAUUAUGAAUGGUAUAUUCAAUAUGUAGUUUGGAGAUGAAAUAUAAAUUCAGCUUUAUUAUACCAAAUCAUGACUUUCAAGUGGGUUCCUUCUAAAUCUUAUUUAAAAGCCAUUUUUCCACCUGUAGUAAGGUAUAAAGGAAGCCUCAAGGCCUUCAAUAAGCUGCGUUAGCACUGAAGGAUCAGGCAGUAUCUGCUUGUUUUAUCUGCCCAGUUCCUUAGUUUGUUUUAUCUGUUUGUUUUUAAAGGGGCAGAACCACACUCAAACAGGUUCAUACAGAAGCACAAACACACAGCUAGUCUCAAACUCACAGGAACCAUACUGCCACAGCCUCUCAAGUUGCUAGUAUUACAGACAUGUGUACUCACUUCUGGCCAAGUUCCUUAGGUUUCUAGAAAAAGCACCAGACAUUUAUGCCCGUUAUCUACUGAGACUUACACUUUAUAUAACUAUGCCACUGUUUAUGCAACUACUGUUUAUAGUAGCUCGAAGGUGGAAACAGUGGAAAUGUCUGUGAAUUGAGGAAUAGACAACAAAAGACCCACGUUAUACAACAGGAUGCUAUUCGACCUUAAAAUGAAACUCUAGCACCUGCUACUACGUGGGUGAACCUUAGUGUUAUUGUGAAGAGAAAAGGACAAGUAUUUGGUGAUUCCACCUUUGUAAGCAGGAAGAACAUUCAAAUUUAUACAGCAAAGAAAAAUAAUGGGUUUUCAAAGCUAGAUGGACAAGGAAAUAGAAAGCCAUGAUUUUUAUUGUUUCAUGGGUACAGCAUUCAGAAUGUCAGUAUGGGAAAAACAAAGACACUUUUACAUGGUGGUGAUGGACCACAAUAUGAAUGUACUUAAUGCCACAACUUCUUACUUAAAAUGUCUAAAGUAGUAGGUUUCACAUAAUUUUGCCACAGCUAGAAAAACUCCAAAAUUUCAGCAGUAAAAUGUAACACUACGUGUUCCUUACUAAGGAAAUAACCUGGUGCUGCUGAGACCCUAAUCAAGAGUGCAGAUCUGGGAAGAUCUCUAACUGCCUGCUGUGGCUGCUGUGAUCUGUAUCUCCAUCUACAAGCAACGUUUCUCCAGUCAACACACUGAAAGUCAGAUGUGCACUUUUGUUGAUGAAAUUAGUGCUGUUAUUUAGCCCAGUGAGCCCUUUUAGAAGCAGGCUCUCAUUAGUGAAAUUAAAGUAUUCAUUAUACAUGGAUUCACAGAAAUAUAUUAGAGACACUCCUAUAAUUGCUUGACUGAAGCACAGAACCCUGUUAAUUUUAUAGGCUUCACUUUCAGGAAUUGUGACCUUAGCUAAGAAUCCUGUGCUCAACACUGAGGAACCCUCAGUUCCUGGAAUGAGCUUGAUGAGUGGCAGAACACUGUGCCUGGAACUUUCAUGAUGGUCUUCACUGACUGUCUUGUACAGGAUGCUGUUCAGAAUCCUCAAACUAUAGACCUAGAACACAGUCAAAUUUACCAAAUAGUCAUAAACUCUCUGCAAGUUCACUUGCUAAUGAAUGUUUGUUAAGUGGAUGCUUUAUAUGUGAUGAUGCUUAUCUGAGGCUUUGCUCAUUGGACACUUAGUCAUAAAGUUGUCAUCCUAACGUCAAAACAUCCUCAGAGCUGGUCACAAUUGAGCCACACAUUACCGAAUCAGUCAGCUCAUGGCCGCCAGUGUACAGGACAGAAAGAAAUUCUAAUGUCAACGGAUAUGAGCAAUAAAACCAUAAAGUAUUGGCUUAUCAUCAGGUUGUGAGUCCUAAGAAGUCACAUUGAGAUAGUGUAGUUCCUUGACUUGACUUGGGAAUGAAAUGAAACAAAAACAAGACAAAACAACAACAAAACCCUCAGAGCACAGAGGUUCUUGAUGAUCUUCCCAAAGAGAAACCAAAGGGAAACUUUGAUAUCAUGGUUACUUAGAAAACACCCACAUAUUGAGCAAUUGUGUUGUGUCAGGCAUAUAAUAGUUACUUUAACACAUGACUGAUAUCACAAAUAUCCAGAAAAAAGUGAAUACUCUGGACUUGUUUUCAGAGAGAACAACUCCAUUUAUAUCCCAUGGCCCUUAACAUUCCUUAUAAGAAGCUAGCUAUUUGAAACACUUUCCUAUAGCCAUCUUGGCCAUGAAAGGUACUGGAGUAAUGACUGGAAAUGCUAACGAUAAUGUCUCGGUUCAGACCUCUGCCAGAAGGAGAACUUACUCCCCUCAGAUGGGAUAUCUCUAAGGCAUGUUCUGCACUGUCUCCUGGAUCCCAUCAGUUAUCCAAUGAACAACUGGAGAAACCUGUUGACUAACAUACAGGUAUACACCUUGGAGUCAUUCUAUAAACUAUUUUCUCACUAUAUGAAAACUACUAGAAUCAAAGACCAACAACAACAUGAAAAGCCUCAUUAGGGACUUGACUGUGGGACAUCCAGCCGAACAGCAUGAGCCAAGUGAAGCAAGAGAGCCAUUUCCUGAGUGGCCACCUUGAGCACAGAUGCUUGAAAUCUGCUACGGGCACUCCAGCUUGGAUCCAGAAGUUAAUAUCUGUUCCUUCUCCAUCACUAAAGACGUUGGUGACAUUGAGGGGCUGCAGCAGACUCAUGAUCUCCUUCAUGAUAGCCCUGGCCUUGUCACUGCCGGUGAACUGCAGCCCAGUGGGCAGAGCUGGGGUGAAUGCAUCCUCAGCAGAGCCUGUCUUCCCUUCACUGUCUGAGCUGGGAGCCUCCAUAUGUUUGUCUACUUGAAGGAAACGGCCGACCACAGGAGGGAGGGAGGAGAUGUGCAUACAACAGCUAUCUGAAAGAUGGAUAUGAAUGAGAGGAUACACUUCAGCCUGGAAGAUACGGAAGGAAAUAAAAGCUCUGGACACAUCAGAAGCAUGAGGAAGAUUUGCGCUGAGCUGAGGACAUAUGAACCCAGUGAAGCUAGUAUCACUGAAGAGACACAGAAAAAAUUGCUUUCUCUCUGUCGAUCCUUCAAGAAGUGAAAGGUAAGGAAAAAGGCCUAGUUAAAAAUUACAUCUGACUUCCAGCAAAGAAAAGCACAAAUAACCCCAGUGGUCAAACCUAAAACAACAAUCUUGGAAUUCUCUGGCUAUAGAUCAACUAAUUGUGCACAUUUUUAAAAUCUAAAGCAAUCCCUACACAGCUGCUGAUGGUGUGGAAAGAACUAGCCCUUCAAAGACCAGCACAGCAAUUUACACUGAUGGGAACUCCAUCUGGAGAUUCACUUCAUGCCACUACAUUACCUUUUAUAGCUCUUGGAGAAUUAAGAAAAAACCCACUGCCACAACCACAGCCAAUAUCUAUGUUGAUAAAUUAUUAAAUGAGAUAUGUCUUCUGUAAGAAGAAAUAAUCACCACUUUAGCACCUGGUGACUGCCUGAAAGUUUUGAGUUAACAUCUGUGUGUGAUGUUUAAGAUGGAGCCAAGGUAGGAAAGAAGAUUAAAUGAUCAAAUAAAAACGACUAAAAAAAAGAGCAAAAUUCAAAGACAGUACAAAUAUGGUGACCAAGUUGAACAACCAUCCAGGGAGCUGCCUCCUGACUUCAUGAUGUGCACCCCACGUCACUCCAUUCCCAUGUGCCUCUCAAGCCUGGGCUCCAAGCUACUUGGUUUUGUGUCAUUUUUCCUUUUUAUUAUCUCUCCUUACCUUUAUCUUUGGCUGUAGAUACUCUUUCUUACUAUUUUUUAUAUAUGUAAGGUACUAAAAGUCCUUGUUGGCUGACUCCUGUACUCUGUACAGCAAGAUUUCCUGAUAGCUUGCCUUGUGCCCACAUGCUGAAGCACCCAUGUAAGGUUAACUCUACCAUAAAUGACAAACCCUCUUGAAUUUUACCUUGUGUUGGGUAUAGGCAUGCAAAAAUUAAAAUUGCCUAAAAGUUAAAAUAUCAUGAUAGAAAGGAGUGUGAGACAUGUGAGUAAGCAGUGGGCAAUAGUGUAGCAUAUUUAGUGGAACAUGAAUGCCCUCUCAUGCACAAAGCAGGCAGCAGUCCCUGUAAGAGGAUACAAAAAAAUACCCAUGGGUUUGUUUUUCAUUCGAUACCCCACCUGUGCCCACUCAGGUUCCUACCCCAACCACUUUGAGGGCAUUGACCACCAUCACAUCGAUACUAUUCUCUUUAUUUCAAAGUGGCCCUAAGUAUAUUCAUUCACAUAAAUGAUCUAUCCUUUCCUUAAUGACUCCUUUUUGGUAGCACAUACAAAGACUAGAAAUGCAAUUCACAGGUCUAUACAACAGAACUAUAUUGUUCAUCUCCCUAGCAAGGUUUAUUUUAAAACUAAGCUCUGAGUACGCAAAGUAACAAAGAGAAAAUUCAUCUCCUGAUUGCUUCCUAACUAGCCUUUCCUCUAUUUUUACAUGUCUCUGGGAUUCACAUUUUACUCACUGCCCUUUGUUGUCAGACUGGCUUCAGAGUGAGACCAAGUAUGAAUGCCAUGAGUAUUUUAGGUCAGGAACUAAGGGUCUGUUUCUUUUCUCAGCGUUGAGCAUUGAAGCUUGAGAAAAAUAGGGUAAGGGAGACCUGUUUACUGACCAGCAAGAGUCAAACAGGCAGCUGAAGAGAUGGCUCGGCAGUUAAUUGGGGAAACUACUCCUGAGGAAGGUCCAAGUUCAGUUCCCUUUACCUAUGUCAGGCACCUCCAUGCCUGGAACUCCAGCUCUAAGGAACUUAAUGCUCUUUUCCGGCCUCAGCAAACACCUGCCCUCAUACCUACAUACUUACACACAGAUACAUACAUAUCCAUAUAACUAAAAAUAAAAUCAAAUCUUUAAAACAAAAGAAUAAUGAGUGAAUUUCUUUCUAUGGCAUGAUUUUAUAAGAAUAAACAAAACUUGAGGCCCACUUCAUGAGAUGGAGAUGACCAGGAAUCAGAAGCUGAACAGCCCAGGGACCUAGGGUAGAAUCAAACAUGACUGGAAA